rnacentral:lncRNA from 1 species
GACGGGAAGUUAGGUGGCGACGCGUUAAUGCGGUUUUGGUUCUGAUGACAUGGUUCUGUACAGGAUUUCACACAUUCAAUGCCUCCGUUACAAGCGUCCUCACAUCCAAAGACACAACUAGUAUAAAAAUCAUCAUAUGCCAUUGUAUAAUUAGCAGCAAAUAUUAGGACCAUCAAAAUUGUACCCAAAACUCCGAUAAUUGAGGAUUUCAUGUUUGGUAACUAUUAGCAUUUGAAUUUCCUAUGAAAAAG